GUAGGGAAUAUUGCGCAAUGGACGAAAGUCUGACGCAGCGACGCCGCGUGAGUGAUGAAGGCCUUAGGGUCGUAAAGCUCUGUUGAAUGGGAAGAAAAAAAUGACGGUACCAUUCGAGGAAGGACCGGCUAACUUCGUGCCAGCAGCCGCGGUAAUACGAGGGGUCCUAGCGUUGUUCGGAAUCAUUGGGCGUAAAGGGUGUGUAGGUGGCCAUGUAAGUCAGGUGUGAAAGCCUCGGGCUCAACCCGGGAAGUGCACUUGAUACUGCGUGGCUUGAGUACCGAAGAGGGUAGUGGAAUUCCAGGUGUAGUGGUGAAAUACGUAGAUAUCUGGAGGAACACCGGUGGCGAAGGCGGCUACCUGGUCGAGUACUGACACUGAGACACGAAAGCAUGGGGAUCAAACAGGAUUAGAAACCCUAGUAGUCC
rnacentral:rRNA from 1 species